rnacentral:lncRNA from 1 species
GAGUCAGUUAAAAACGAGUCAGUUAAAGCAAAUAAUCAAGAUGAGCCAAAUGUAAGUAGUGCCGAAUCAAAUGAAAAUGAAAAUGAAGCUGAUACUGUAAAAGAUAAUGUAUAUGAAAAUUAUGUUAGAGAAUAUAAAAACUUACAGUUAUUAUUUUCAAGUAAAAAUAAACAAAUGGACGAUUUUUAUAUAUCUAUACCUAAAAUGGUCGAUAGUAGUUUUAAAAGAGAAGUAGUAUCACAAAAUAAUAAAAUUAGUGGUUGUAAGGGUAGUAUUACGAGUUACGAUAGCAGCAACGGUAAUGGAACGAAUAGUGCAAGUGGUAGGAACAAAAAAAAGAGUAACACUAACAAUUUGAAUAAAUUGUUAGAAAAUCAUAUAAGUAAUAAACAAAAAAAAAUAUUAAUCAAAGAAAGUGGAAAAGAAAGCAAAGAAGGAAAAGGAAAUCAUAGUGAAAGUAUAUUGGACAACAUUUAUGAACAUACAAGUGGUGAAGAAUAUACAAAUGUUAAAGCAAAAACAAGUGCUGAUGAAUCAAAUGUGAAUAAUAAGGACGAGACUUUUAAUGUUAAUGGGAGAAGAAAUAACGAAAUAUUAAUAACACCUCAAAAAAAUGAUAAAGAAAAAGUCGAAUUUGGUAGAAAACAUAAAAAUAAUGAUAUACAUCAAAAUUCUUUGCAUGAUAAAAAUGAAUCAAACUAUAGUAGUAAUAAUGACCAUGAUACGGUUGUAAAUAUUGCUAACACUAAUAAUUUAUGUAAUAUAUAUAAGGAGGGAAAUAAAUAUAAUGCAAUAAAAGAUAAACAAAUGAAUGUUACACAUAUAAGUGACAAUGAAAGUGUACACCAUAAAGAAUGUAAUAAUGAUAGUGUGUAUAGGUUGAAUAGUAGCAGUUGUAGUAGUAAUAAUGCUAGUCAAUUGUUUAAUAAAAAAGUUAUGCAAAUUGAUAAAAGUUUAAAUAAUUAUACAUUAAAUAAAAAAAAAAGCUUUUUAAGUAAUAGUAGUACAUGGGGAGGAGAUGAAAUUAAAAUGAGUUCUUUAAGUAGUUUGGCUAAUUUUUAUAUUGAUAAAGCAGUAUCAAAAAAUGAUAGUAAUAACAAAAUUAUGUUAUAUAAAGAUAACAUAUCAGAGUAUGGAAAUAUCAAAAAAUUGUUAAGUUACGAAAUUAACAAUUUUAACUCUUUUAUUAAUGACACGAAUAAUUCCUCUAGACAUAACAUACUUAGUGACACCGAUAUACGUAAGAAAAAACACAGUAUUACUGAAUAUAAAAAAAAAAAAAAAAAAAAAACUCGUAGAAAAAAGGUUAUACAAAAAUAAAGUAUACAAGAGUAUGAAUCCAUGACAACAGACACAAACAAUGAAAAAAAAAAAUUUAACAAACGAAAUAAAAAUGACAUACUAUCUGAUAUAUCCA